UACAGAGGGUGCGAGCGUUGUUCGGAUUCAUUGGGCGUAAAGGGUGCGUAGGUGGCGCCGUAAGUCGGGUGUGAAAUUUCGGAGCUUAACUCCGAAACUGCAUUCGAUAACUGCGGUGCUUGAGGACUGGAGAGGAGACUGGAAUUCAUGGUGUAGCAGUGAAAUGCGUAGAGAUCAUGAGGAAGACCAGUGGCGAAGGCGGGUCUCUGGACAGUUCCUGACACUGAGGCACGAAGGCCAGGGGAGCAAACGGG
rnacentral:rRNA from 1 species